rnacentral:lncRNA from 1 species
UAGAGAGCCUUUUGCAAUUUUUAUAUUAACCUGUGACAGCCCAGUGAUGAUCACUAUUCCUACUUAGAGAGAAUAGGACUAACUUUCAGAAAUCCAGGCAUUUUUCUACCUUUCAUACUAUCUUUCUUUCACUUUACUUCUCUUUUCUGUCUUUUAUCACUUCUUUCUUUCUUCAUUCUUUCUCUCUUUUGCCUGGAUCGAGAUUGUUAAGUCCCUCUCAGUGAAGGGUAAGAUUAUGAGAUCUGAGGGCUGUAUAAAUGUAGUAAGUUGUCCCUUAAGCAUAUUGAAAUGUAGUGUGAAAGUUGGAUGAAGGA